GGAGAGAUGGCAGAGCGGUUUAAUGCGGCGGUCUUGAAAACCGUUGAGGGUGAAACCUCCGGGGGUUCGAAUCCCUCUCUCUCCG
rnacentral:tRNA from 2 species